rnacentral:rRNA from 1 species
AAUUGUUCGCAAUGGGCGCAAGCCUGACGACGCAACGCCGCGUGGAGGAUGAAGACUUUCGGGUCGUAAACUCCUUUCGACCGAGAUGAAUAGCCCGGGAUCUAAUAGUUCCCGGGCCUGACAGUAUCGAGGGAAGAAGCCCCGGCUAACUCCGUGCCAGCAGCCGCGGUAAUACGGGGGGGGCAAGCGUUGUUCGGAAUUACUGGGCGUAAAGGGUUCGUAGGUGGCUUGCUAAGUCAGACGUGAAAUCCCUCAGCUUAACUGGGGAACUGCGUCUGAGACUGGCGAGCUUGAGGGCAGGAGAGGAACGCGGAAUUCCAGGUGUAGCGGUGAAAUGCGUAGAUAUCUGGAGGAACACCGGUGGCGAAGGCGGCGUUCUGGACUGCAUCUGACGCUGAGGCGCGAAAGCGUGGGGAGCAAAC